CGAACUUUUGUGUGAUCAACAUUCGCUGAUGAUUGUUUCAACUUGAUAACUCGAGCCGAACGAACAAACUUCCAAAUGAAAAGUUUAUUGAUCGUUGGGAUCGAUGAAUCAGGUUGAUUAUUGCGUGUCUAUGUUGCAAUAGCUGCAUUAAUCUUCAUGCUUUGACUCCACCGUGACUGAGCUUACCUUAUGAUACGUUGCGGAUUAAUGGAUCUUUUUAUCCGCCGUCCGUGGAACUUCCCAAGGAAUUAUGCGUGGAGGGACACGUAAGGAAGAUGCGUGGACGAAUGACGAACGGUGUCCUGUUCAUUCAAUUCAUCAAUGGCUUGAACUUUUUGUUACAUUAUGUUGUUCAAACUUCAUCCCAGGAACAGCACGAAUGUUGAGAUAAGCACAUUUUAUUCGGGAUGCGUAUUCGAGUACUAAAUCUAGGGAUAACAUGCCCAAAAGGGAAACCUGAAAAUAAUAAAUAUGAUACCAUCCCAAUAGACAUAAUAGAAUUGGCUCGUUGGAUAAUGUGAAGAUAAACCGUGCCCUGGCAUAUCCAAG